rnacentral:rRNA from 1 species
GACGAACGCUGGCGGCGUGCUUAACACAUGCAAGUCGAACGGAAAGGCCCUGCUUUUGUGGGGUGCUCGAGUGGCGAACGGGUGAGUAACACGUGAGUAACCUGCCCUUGACUUUGGGAUAACUUCAGGAAACUGGGGCUAAUACCGGAUAGGAGCUCCUGCUGCAUGGUGGGGGUUGGAAAGUUUCGGCGGUUGGGGAUGGACUCGCGGCUUAUCAGCUUGUUGGUGGGGUAGUGGCUUACCAAGGCUUUGACGGGUAGCCGGCCUGAGAGGGUGACCGGCCACAUUGGGACGGAGAGACGGCCCAGACUCCUACGGGAGGCAGCAGUGGGGAAUAUUGCACAAUGGGCGGAAGCCUGAUGCAGCAACGCCGCGUGCGGGAUGACGGCCUUCGGGUGGUAAACCGCUUUCGCCUGUGACGAAGCGUGAGUGACGGUAAUGGGUAAAGAAGCACCGGCUAACUACGG